rnacentral:rRNA from 1 species
GGACUACUCGGGUAUCUAAUCCUGUUCGCUCCCCACGCUUUCGCUCCUCAGCGUCAGUAUUGGCCCAGAUCACCGCCUUCGCUACUGGUGUUCUUCCUGAUAUCUGCGCAUUCCACCGCUACACCAGGAGUUCCGUGAUCCCCUACCAAACUCUAGUCACAACAGUUUCACGUGGCGGCCCCAGGUUGAGCCUGGGGGAUUAACACGUGACUUAUUGAACCGCCUACGAGCUCUUUACGCCCAAUAAAUCCGAAUAACGCUUGCACCCUAUGUAUUACCGCGGCUGCUGGCAC